UCAGACACGCCCUCGAAAUUGUACGUUCAGCUUGCCGUCGCGCUCUUUCGAACGAAAGAACCGCCGCUCACCGCUUGCCCACUCAUUACAUAGCCUUGCAUGGGUCAUCGCCCCCUAUUGAUGCGCUUUCGCACCGAUUAUGGCGUAUGCGGGAUGCCCCCUUUCCCCCCCUAGCGUUCUGGAGAGUGAUAACCUCGCCGGCUAUAGCCUAAUCGACCAACCACCCCAUUUCCGGAUGGUUCCGCUGCUAGGCAUCGACCAAACUCUCCUGCUGGUCGGUGUGACCCUGACUCUGUGCCGGGUCUGAGGAUGCCCUCCGUCGUCACCCCUUAAAACCUGUUACCCCCUUUGGGACUAGGUCGGUAGGGCGCACACGCUACUUCCGGAAGCCCAACAUUUCGUGAAAACCGUCCCUUCUUUGCCGGGCCCUAUUAUGGGACCCAAUUACUGCCAUGGACGUCUUAUUCGUGGCCGAUUGAUGCACGGUCGUCGGCGCCAUUAUGCAUCCCACGUUCGCAAUUAGCCUUAAUGACCCGCAUUUCGCACGCGUCCGCCAAGCCUUUCUUUCCACACUUUAGGGUCCCGAAUUGGAACCUUGACGUGAAAAUUGAUGGCCCGAUCUCAUGCAGUCUCCCCCCAUCUUAAGGUGCACAUCGUCACUUUACGCAUCUCUACACCUCCUUAUGGCUACCGCUUCCGUCGGGGGACCCUACUAUGACUGCGAGUACGUGCUUUCGCACCCCUCGUUUGUCCUAAUCUAUGGGACCAUCAGGUGCGGGAUUUGCUACAGUUGAUCGACAACCCCAAAUAAUUGGAAUCAUCGCGUCGGUUGCGCACUUCAACUGGCGGACCCCUCAUGCCAGCGUUCUAAUUUUGAGUUUCCUUAACUGCCCCUGGGCGUGUUCGCCACCUACUACACCUAAUUAAGCUACGUUGCGCUUUUUGGAAUGGAUGGGAACUGUACAGACCUUAGGGCUUCUCUAAACCCUCACGAGCGUUCUCUUGGCCUUGUGUCCACGACGUACCGACAGCAGUCGAGCACAGCACUCUACAACCCAAUUCAGGGCGUUGCUCGCGUUGGGAACGGUAAUCAACGAUGUAAAUCAACCCGUGAGAUUACCCUGACGGCCACUGUUUGGCCUCCUUCCACCCCUACUGCAGUUCAGGAGUACCGGGAAUACCCAUCCCGAAGUGUGCAGUAUGUUACCAGCCCUGUCUCCCAACGGUUCGGCGCUCCACCUCGGUUAGAGUCUUUGGGCUAGCAUCAGGCCUAGCGUCAGACGUUGAGCUGACGCACUUCAGCCUUAGCGAUCAUUAGCGCCUAGUCGUACAGCGCCACUUAUGCAAGGGCCCAGAACAUGUGUGGCGGGCAGUGUGGUACCCUCACCCAAAGUGGUCUUCAUCCAUCGGAUUGGCGUUCCCCCCGCGAAUGGUGCCACUCUAAGUACUGACCCCCUUCAGCUUGUUCUCGGAUC
rnacentral:rRNA from 1 species